rnacentral:rRNA from 1 species
UACGUAGGGUGCAAGCGUUAAUCGGAAUUACUGGGCGUAAAGCGUGCGCAGGCGGUUAUGCAAGACAGAUGUGAAAUCCCCGGGCUCAACCUGGGAACUGCAUCCGAGACUGCAUUGCUAGAGUAUGGGAGAGGGAAGCGGAAUUUCUGGUGUAGCAGUGAAAUGCGUAGAUAUCUGGAGGAAUACCGGUGGCGAAGGCGGCAUCCUGGACCGAGAUUGACACUAAAGCGCGAAAGCCAGGGGAGCAAACGGG